AUCUUAAUACGUUUAUUACCUUGUCACAUAUACUAGAAUUCACGUUUUAAAAUUAUAUUACAAGUUAAAUAUAACCUGUAAACUAUGCAUAAAAUUACAGAAUAGAAGAUUGAUUCCAGAUGAUAUCCUUUAAACUACACCCGUUAAAAAAGGGUUUCAAAAAUAUUAGAAAAAAAUCAAAAUAAUAUCUUCCAUUUGUAAUUUGAUAAAUCAAAAUAAAAGCCCUUAAAAUUUUCGAUAAUCCCCAAUCUCAAUACAAUAAAAAUGCUUCGAACCUUUUAAAACAAAUCAAAACCAUUUUGAGAAAAAUAUGUUGCCCGCCGCUUUCACCCUCUCCCCCGAUUUGGCCUCUGGCUGAAUACUUGGCCGUUGUAAUGGCUCUUGCCUUCGCCUGUCCGUCACUUAGUCGACAUAUGUCGGCCGCCGGUUGUUGGUCCAUUUGCGGUUUUGCCUCGUGUCGACUAGCUAUGCGGCCUGCUCUCUGCUCUCUCGUUUAUCGGUAGUUAUUGUUAGUACACGAGUGAUUAUGGAGCUGUCGUGGGUUGCCAUAACCAUUAGUAAAGAUUGUAAGAGAAAAUGUAAUUCAACACAGAGACUAAACUUCAGAAGCUGGAACAAAUUUGUAUGAGGCAAAUUUAUUUUCAAAUGUUUACUUCAAAAGUGGAUUUUUCUAAUUAUUGUUUUGUUUGUUGUUAGAUGCAGUUUUUAUAACAUUAUAUUAUCUCUAAGCAAAUGCAGGUGUGUGAGGAAAAUAGAUGUGUGAGUUUUACUUUUUCACUAAAACUCAUGUGAUUUAAGUAGUUAUUUUCCUUUUUUUUACUAUCUACUUAUAGACUAUCUUAUCCUUUCCUUGCAUAUGUAAAUUGUAUUUAGGAGAUUUAACACACAGGUUCGACUUUUAUACCACUCCAACCUCCUACUUUGCUCUUUUAUAUGUUUUUUUGUUGGUUUAUUUCAUCCUUUUUAUAUUUUUUUGCACCACACUCUGCUUUUAAUUUUUAACGAUUUUUGUGUGUGUUUAAUUUUUUUCACGGAUUAUUUGGAUGUGGGUUUUAGAUUAAUGCUAAAGAUAGUUGUGAUAUGAGUUUUGGACAUUGAUAGGUAUUGCCUCAAUAGCUUGAGUACAUCAGGCCACAUAUGGACCAUUCAUGACAUUAAUAGGACAAUAAAGUUAUGGUUAGAAGCUGGCACUCUCCCAAGUCUCAAUGCUUCACCAUCCAAAUGUUGUGAUGAAAGAUGCUUUAUGGAGGACAUAAAUAGUAUAUCUUGAAUAACAAGCUACUUUGUUUCAUUCUCAAAGUUGGGUGUCAUGUUAGGGUCCCUAAUCUUACUUCUUGAUUGAUCUGAGUUUCUAUUAUUGGGGAUGAAGCUAAGAUUGUUUAUAGAGGUAGCAUCGAUAAGUGAUGAUCACCAGAAAGUCAUCCCUCAUCUUUUUGUAAGAGGUUGCAAUUUCCAUUAAUUUCUAUUUUGCAGACAUCGAAGGGAGAGCAGGCCAUGAUGGUUAUUGGUUCAACAUUAUUAUUUUGCUUAUUUUGCUCGAUGUUUUUUCGUUUUAAUACUUGAAUUAAUCAUAUCACUUAGUAUUUCUAUUAGUUGAUUAAAUUUAUUUGUAAUUUUGUUUUUUUUGUAAAGGAUAUUAUUUUUUGAUUGACUAUUAUUUGAUCAUGUAGUUUUUGUAAGAUUAAGUUGGCUGGUUUGGACUUUGGGCUUGCUGUAAGAAUGGGUUAUUGUUUUUGGUUGUUGUGGUCUAUUAGAUGAAGAUUUAGUAUUAUAGGAGCAGUUUUAGAAAUUUUAUUUCACUUCCCAGGUUAAUUCAAAAAGAUGGGUUAUAGUUUUUUUAUAGGCUUACAAAACAUGAACUCUAAGUGUUUGACAAAAUGUCUCAUCAAAACUCUACACUCAAUCUCUCAACCUGGUAUCCAUUUAUCUUUCCCAUUUUCUAUCGACUUUUGAAACUAUUUUGGUUGUUUUAUUUUAUUUUAUUAGUUCUAAAUUUUGCAGAUGGAUAGUUA